rnacentral:rRNA from 1 species
AUUGAACGCUGGCGGCAUGCCUUACACAUGCAAGUCGAACGGCAGCACGGGAGCAAUCCUGGUGGCGAGUGGCGAACGGGUGAGUAAAGUAUCGGAACGUGCCCAGUCGUGGGGGAUAACGUAGCGAAAGUUACGCUAAUACCGCAUACGAUCUAUGGAUGAAAGCGGGGGAUCGCAAGACCUCGCGCGAUUGGAGCGGCCGAUAUCAGAUUAGGUAGUUGGUGGGGUAAAGGCUCACCAAGCCGACGAUCUGUAGCUGGUCUGAGAGGACGACCAGCCACACUGGGACUGGGACACGGCCCAGACUCCGACGGGAGGCAGCAGUGGGGAAUUUUGGACAAUGGGCGAAAGCCUGAUCCAGCCAUGCCGCGUGCAGGAUGAAGGCCUUCGGGUUGUAAACUGCUUUUGUACGGAACGAAAAGGUUUGGCCUAAUAAGCUGAGCUCAUGACGGUACCGUAAGAAGAAGCCCCGGCUAACUUCGUGCCAGCAGCCGCCGUAA